rnacentral:rRNA from 1 species
GAUGAACGCUGGCGGCGUGCCUAAUACAUGCAAGUCGAGCGAACGGACGAGAAGCUUGCUUUUCUGAUGUUAGCGGCGGACGGGUGAGUAACACGUGGAUAACCUACCUAUAAGACUGGGAUAACUUCGGGAAACCGGAGCUAAUACCGGAUAAUAUUUUGAACCGCAUGGUUCAAAAGUGAAAGACGGUCUUGCUGUCACUUAUAGAUGGAUCCGCGCUGCAUUAGCUAGUUGGUAAGGUAACGGCUUACCAAGGCAACGAUGCAUAGCCGACCUGAGAGGGUGAUCGGCCACACUGGAGCUGAGACACGGUCCAGACUCCUACGGGAGGCAGCAGUAGGGAAUCCUCCGCAAUGGGCGAGAGCCUGACGGAGCAACGCCGCGUGAGUGAUGAAGGUCUUCGGAUCGUAAAACUCUGUUAUUAGGGAAGAACAUAUGUGUAAGUAACUGUGCACAUCUUGACGGUACCUAAUCAGAAAGCCACGGCUAACUACGUG